GCGGCAGGCCUAACACAUGCAAGUCGAGCGCGAAAGGACUUCGGUCUGAGUAGAGCGGCGGACGGGUGAGUAACGCGUAGGAAUCUACCCGGUAGUGGGGGACAACUCGGGGAAACUCGAGCUAAUACCGCAUACGCCCUGAGGGGGAAAGCGGGGGAUCUUCGGACCUCGCGCUAUCGGAAGAGCCUGCGUUGGAUUAGCUAGUUGGUGAGGUAAAGGCUCACCAAGGCGACGAUCCAUAGCUGGUCUGAGAGGAUGAUCAGCCACACCGGGACUGAGACACGGCCCGGACUCCUACGGGAGGCAGCAGUGGGGAAUAUUGCGCAAUGGGCGAAAGCCUGACGCAGCCAUGCCGCGUGUGUGAAGAAGGCCUUCGGGUUGUAAAGCACUUUCACUUGGGAGGAAAAGUUGGAGGCUAAUACCCUUCAGCCUUGACGUUACCUUGAGAAGAAGCACCGGCUAACUCCGUGCCAGCAGCCGCGGUAAUACGGAGGGUGCGAGCGUUAAUCGGAAUUACUGGGCGUAAAGCGCGCGUAGGCGGUUUGUUAAGUCGGAUGUGAAAGCCCCGGGCUCAACCUGGGAAUUGCAUCCGAUACUGGCCAACUGGAUUGCCAGAGAGGGAGGUAUAAUUCCACGUGUAGCGGUGAAAUGCGUAGAUAUGUGGAGGAAUACC
rnacentral:rRNA from 1 species